rnacentral:rRNA from 1 species
UACAGAGGGGGCAAGCGUUGUUCGGAAUUACUGGGCGUAAAGGGCGCGUAGGCGGCCGCCUAAGUCAGACGUGAAAUCCCUCGGCUCAACCGGGGAACUGCGUCUGAUACUGGGUGGCUUGAAUCCGGGAGAGGGAUGCGGAAUUCCAGGUGUAGCGGUGAAAUGCGUAGAUAUCUGGAGGAACACCGGUGGCGAAGGCGGGUCUCUGGGCCGUAACUGACGCUGAGGAGCGAAAGCAUGGGGAGCGAACAGG